rnacentral:rRNA from 1 species
CCAGCAGCCGCGGUAAUUCCAGCUCCAGAAGCGUAUACUAACGUUGUUGCAGUUAAAAAGCUCGUAGUUGAAUUUUUUGUAAGAAUUGACCUUUGUUUACUGUAAUGGUAAAUUUUGAAGUGUUAAUUUUGGCAAUCUUUUGAAUACGUAAGUAUUCAAUCUUUCACUGUAAAAAAAUUAGAGUGUUUCAAGCAAAACGUAUGUUUGGAAUAUAAUAGUAUGGAAUGAUAAGAUAGGACUCUUUUACUAUUUUGUUGGUUUGUAUAAGAGAGUAAUGAUUAAUAGGGACAAUUGGGGGUAUUCGUAUUCAGAUGUCAGAGGUGAAAUUCUUGGAUUUUCGGAAG